rnacentral:lncRNA from 1 species
CUCCUGUACCAUGGAAAUCCUAUGUUGUUAUGAAUGCUUACAUCAAUUCAUUUCAACAAUAAAUUCAAGAAGAUACAUUUGUUGUUUCUGUAAAGGGGCUUCUUGCAGGAACUUCAAGGAAAGACAUGAAAGAGAAGAUAAAGGAACAAUAAUGUUCCAAAUUCCUGCUAUGCAGUGGGAAUGACUAAGCACCUAGAAGUCUGGUGACAAUCAGGACAUAAGAAGCUAUAUUUUGCAACCCAAGAGCUGAAGAGCAACCUUGACAGGGAAGAGGCAUGAGCUCUGUCCCUCAUGUCCUGCACCAGAGAGCCUUUCAGCUUGGUCCCAGGAGAGCUGAACAUGGUCACCAAGUAGACUUACAAGGGCCUGGCAGCAUUGUCCUUGAUAGAGCUCAGAACUGGAAGCCUUGGGAGUGGGAAGGCCCCUGACCAGGAGGCUAUACCUGAUGGUUUCAGAGGCACUUAAGGGAAUUUGCAGGUAAG